UACGGAGGGGGCGAGCGUUGUUCGGAUUCAUUGGGCGUAAAGGGUGCGUAGGUGGCGCCGUAAGUCGGGUGUGAAAUUUCGGAGCUUAACUCCGAAACUGCAUUCGAUACUGCGGUGCUUGAGGACUGGAGAGGAGACUGGAAUUUACGGUGUAGCGGUGAAAUGCGUAGAUAUCGUAAGGAAGACCAGUGGCGAAGGCGGGUCUCUGGACAGUUCCUGACGCUGAGGCACGAAGGCCAGGGGAGCAAACGGG
rnacentral:rRNA from 1 species